CUGAUGCGCCAUGCCGCGUGUGUGAAGAAGGCCUUCGGGUUGUAAAGCACUUUCAGUCGUGAGGAAGGUGGUGUAGUUAAUAGCUGCAUUACUUGACGUUAGCGACAGAAGAAGCACCGGCUAACUCCGUGCCAGCAGCCGCGGUAAUACGGAGGGUGCGAGCGUUAAUCGGAAUUACUGGGCGUAAAGCGCAUGCAGGUGGUUUGUUAAGUCAGAUGUGAAAGCCCGGGGCUCAACCUCGGAAUAGCAUUUGAAACUGGCAGACUAGAGUACUGUAGAGGGGGGUAGAAUUUCAGGUGUAGCGGUGAAAUGCGUAGAGAUCUGAAGGAAUACCGGUGGCGAAGGCGGCCCCCUGGACAGAUACUGACACUCAGAUGCGAAAGCGUGGGGAGCAAACAGGAUUAGAUACCCUGGUAGUCCACGCCGUAAACGAUGUCUACUUGGAGGUUGUGGCCUUGAGCCGUGGCUUUCGGAGCUAACGCGUUAAGUAGACCGCCUGGGGAGUACGGUCGCAAGAUUAAAACUCAAAUGAAUUGACGGGGGCCCGCACAAGCGGUGGAGCAUGUGGUUUAAUUCGAUGCAACGCGAAGAACCUUACCUACUCUUGACAUCCAGAGAACUUUCCAGAGAUGGAUUGGUGCCUUCGGGAACUCUGAGACAGGUGCUGCAUGGCUGUCGUCAGCUCGUGUUGUGAAAUGUUGGGUUAAGUCCCGCAACGAGCGCAACCCUUAUCCUUGUUUGCCAGCGAGUAAUGUCGGGAACUCCAGGGAGACUGCCGGUGAUAAACCGGAGGAAGGUGGGGACGACGUCAAGUCAUCAUGGCCCUUACGAGUAGGGCUACACACGUGCUACAAUGGCGCAUACAGAGGGCAGCAAGCUAGCGAUAGUGAGCGAAUCCCAAAAAGUGCGUCGUAGUCCGGAUUGGAGUCUGCAACUCGACUCCAUGAAGUCGGAAUCGCUAGUAAUCGUGGAUCAGAAUGCCACGGUGAAUACGUUCCCGGGCCUUGUACACACCGCCCGUCACACCAUGGGAAGUGGGCUGCAAAAGAAGUAGGUAGUUUAACCUUCGGGAGGACGCUUACCACUUUGUGGUUCAUGACUGGGUGAAUCGU
rnacentral:rRNA from 1 species